CUAACGGGUGAGUAACACGUGAGUAACCUGCCCACAACUUUGGGAUAACGCUAGGAAACUGGUGCUAAUACUGGAUAUGUGCUCCUGCUGCAUGGUGGGGGUUGGAAAGCUCCGGCGGUUGUGGAUGGACUCGCGGACUAUCAGCUUGUUGGUGGGGUAGUGGCCUACCAAGGCGGCGACGGGUAGCCGGCCUGAGAGGGUGACCGGCCACAUUGGGACUGAGAUACGGCCCAG
rnacentral:rRNA from 1 species